GAUGAACGCUAGCGGGAGGCCUAACACAUGCAAGCCGAGCGGUAUUGUUUCUUCGGAAAUGAGAGAGCGGCGUACGGGUGCGUAACACGUGUGCAACCUGCCUUUAUCUGGGGGAUAGCCUUUCGAAAGGAAGAUUAAUACUCCAUAAUAUAUUGAACGGCAUCGUUUAAUAUUGAAAGCUCCGGCGGAUAGAGAUGGGCACGCGCAAGAUUAGCUAGUUGGUGAGGUAACGGCUCACCAAGGCGAUGAUCUUUAGGGGGCCUGAGAGGGUGAUCCCCCACACUGGUACGGGGACACGGACCAGACUCCUACGGGAGGCAGCAGUGAGGAAUAUUGGUCAAUGGGUGCAAGCCUGAACCAGCCAUCCCGCGUGAAGGACGACUGCCCUAUGGGUUGUAAACUUCUUUUGUAUAGGGAUAAACCUACCCUCGAGAGGGUAGCUGAAGGUACUAUACGAAUAAGCACCGGCUAACUCCGUG
rnacentral:rRNA from 1 species